rnacentral:rRNA from 1 species
GACGAACGCUGGCGGCGUGCCUAAUACAUGCAAGUAGAACGCUGAAGGAGGAGCUUGCUUCUCUGGAUGAGUUGCGAACGGGUGAGUAACGCGUAGGUAACCUGCCUGGUAGCGGGGGAUAACUAUUGGAAACGAUAGCUAAUACCGCAUAAUAGUAGAUGUCGCAUUACAUUUGCUUAAAAGGUGCAAUUGCAUCACUACCAGAUGGACCUGCGUUGAAUUAGCUAGUUGGUGAGGUAACGGCUCACCAAGGCAACGGUACAUAGCCGACCGGAGAGGGGGAUCGGCCACACUGGGACUGAGACAGGGCCCAGACUCCUACGGGAGGCAGCAGUAGGGGAUCUUCGGCAAUGGACGGAAGUCUGACCGAGCAACGCCGCGUGAGUGAAGAAUGUUUUCGGAUCGUAAAGCUAUGUUGUACGAGAAGAAAGAGGGUGAGAGUGGAAAGUUCACACUGUGACGGUAGCUUACCAGAAAGGGACGGCUAACUACGUG